rnacentral:rRNA from 1 species
UACGUAGGGUCCGAGCGUUGUCCGGAAUUAUUGGGCGUAAAGGGCUCGUAGGCGGUUUGUCGCGUCGGGAGUGAAAACGCCGGGCUUAACCCGGUGCUUGCUUUCGAUACGGGCAGACUGGAGGUAUGCAGGGGAGAACGGAAUUCCUGGUGUAGCGGUGAAAUGCGCAGAUAUCAGGAGGAACACCGGUGGCGAAGGCGGUUCUCUGGGACGGUACUGACGCUGAGACGCGAAAGCGUGGGGAGCGAACAGG